rnacentral:tRNA from 1 species
GGCUCUGUAGCUCAGUUGGUUAGAGUGAGGGACUCAUAAGCCCUAGGCCGUUGGUUCAAACCCAACCAGAGUCA